AAAGAAGGUGGCAGAAGCCUCAAGACCCUUCAGAAACACAAAUCGUGAACCUGCUGCAGGGUGGAGAAGAGACAACUGGAGCCUUUACACUUGUGCACUCCAUCUAGAGACUCUGUCCUGUGUCUCUCAAAUGAUGAAGGAGAAGAGGCUCAUCUCUGUGGUUGUUGAACCAUGGGAGCAGGGAGUAUCCUGACAAGGACUGAGAGGUUCAGGACGGAGCCAGGUUCUAGCUUCCUGGGGAUGUGUGUCUGUACACCAUCAGACAGCAAUGAGACUCUGGGUCUGUGUGCUUAUAGGCUUCCUCCAGUGGCUGGAAUUUACCUACUAGCUCUACGCUCUGUCAGCUUACAGCAGCACCAGCCAUGAUGUCAUGGUCAAAGUGGUCAAGCACCCUAUGCCAGCUCCUGACUUUGUAUUUGCAACAUGUCCUGGAUCUGUGACCACCAGCAGCAGCAGAUGGUGCAAUGAACUUCCUGAACAAGAUGUGAAAGUGUUUCCCGCUGAGCCUUGAGAGGUGAACAUACAUCGCGCCUGUCAUCUGGAUGGAACAACUUGAGGAAGGGCCGUCCAUAUUCCUGCUCCCUAACCAGGAC
rnacentral:lncRNA from 1 species